ACUUCGGGUUCCUGCCGUGCCUAGUUCCCCACCCUCGCUUCCCGCCCCCUCGCCACCCCAAGUGUCACUGAGGUGUCAGGGUCUUCGGAGGGUGGUCCUCAACCAGAUUUCCCAUUUUCACCAGGACUUCCCCAUUCUGUGCCAGACAUGUCUUGGAGAAAACCCAUAUAUCCGAAUGACCAAAGAAAAGUAUGGGAAGGAAUGCAAAAUCUGUGCCAGGCCAUUCACAGUGUUUCGCUGGUGCCCUGGAGUCCGCAUGCGUUUCAAGAAGACUGAAGUGUGCCAAACCUGCAGUAAAUUGAAGAAUGUCUGUCAGACCUGCCUCUUAGACCUAGAGUAUGGCCUGCCCAUCCAGGUUCGUGACGCAGGAUUGUCUUUUAAAGAUGACAUGCCAAAGUCAGAUGUCAACAAAGAGUACUAUACACAGAAUAUGGAGAGAGAGGUAUGCUGCCACUUUUUGGAUAGAAAUCCUAAUGAAUUGACACAGUCUGUAUAAUUUAUCUUUUGAAUUUGUCAUCCCCACUUAGAUUUCUAACUCUGAUGGAACACGGCCAGUUGGCAUGCUG
rnacentral:sRNA from 1 species